AAAAUGCCAACGAAAAGACAGUGGGAUGUUUUAGCUUGAAUACUAGAAGAAGACCAACAAAAGUUUCUGUGUUGUGCUACUUUGAUGUGCUAACAAGUCUAAACNGUGUGGAAAAUGUUCNCUCAAGUCAAGUACNAAACACGGUCGGUAAUUAUUCACAAGACAGCUUUUUAUAUUAGUUAAAGUCUAUUGUUGUAGCAUUACAUUUAAUAAUCAUGUAUCAGAACACAUGCCUUACACAUGAUUUUUGAUGGUAUAGGAUAUAUACUCGAGACCUUUGCAUGACCAUUCCUUUCAUAAUUUUUUUAUCAGAUUGAAAUAUUAAGGUUCAUGUAUUAGGGAAAGUACAUUAAUGUCUUAAAAAUAUUUCUCAUACUCAUUAAUUAUUCACGAGGUAUCCAGCCAAUCCCUGANUGUAAUUUGUACUACAUGCAAUANCUGGAAAACCAGAUACUCCUACCUUGUUUCCAGUUGCUUCUACCGUAUUUUCCAGUUACUUCUNCCUUUUUCUAACUACUNCUAGCUAAUAAUAAUAAAAGCAUUGGAUAGAAUUUAUUUAGUAGUGAAAAAUGACAUGACUGCCUCACGAAUCGAUCCCCAACUGGCCAGUAUAUAUGUACCGUCUUAUAGUACAGAGUUUCUGAUGUGAUUCCUUGGAAGAUGACAUUCUUAUAAAUCUUAUGAAUUAGGCACAUUAAAAUUGCCGUGAAUAGCAGAGAAAGACAAAGACAAUUUGUCAUGAGUAGCUUUUGUUUCAGAACCAUUCGGGAAUUUGACUAGAAAUCCCAUGCAGUCCUCAUAGUCGGACCUAACACUACAUGAAUUUUGAUAUCUUAAUAAUACCAUAAUGAAUCAUCCAAGGUAAAAUGAUUGUAAUGUGACUUAGGCAGAAUUGACAGCUGAAGUAGUCAGCUUUAACAACUGCCAAAUACAGAACUUUUUAAUUAUUGCAUUGCAUUGCAUUAGUGUUUGUAGUGUUGCGUAGUUAGCUGUCUCCUUCUUAAUUGCAUCUAGUCUUGUAUCUGUAACAAAGAGCAAGUCUUCUGCAUUGUCAUCUGCAUACUCUGAGUACAGUGUCUGUUCUUCAUUUAACUGAAAAAUCUGAUAGUGAGGUGUUUCUUUGUCAAUGGACUUGUUUGGCAAUGAUGCUCUUGAUAGUGUGUCACUGAUAAACAUCUGUGGUCCAGGCUUGUAUUCUAAACCAAGUGAGUACUUCUGUGAUGUAAGUCUCAUUCUCUGUAAUCUCUUUGGGCUUGUAAGAAUUGGCUUCUUAAGAUUGUUACCAGUGGUUUGUGGUCAGUGUAGACUUUGACCUUGUCUUUACCCAGUAUGUAAUGUUCAAAUCUUCAUGUUGCAAAAACAAUUGCAAGACACUCCUUUUCUAUCUGGGUGUAAUUACGUUCGGUCUGUGUCAGUGCUCUUGACGCAUAUUCAAUGGGCUUUCCAUCCUGAGUGAUCACGGCUCCAAGUCCAACAUCUGAACUGUCACAUUCUAUUACUACAUCUUUCUUGACAUCGUAGUAUUGCAGUAUUGGUGUUUCAGUCAUCAUUGUCUUGAUCUUUGUGAAUGCUGCUUGGUGCUGUGGUAGCCAGUCGAAGGCUGCAUGUUUGUCUGUAAGACGACGAACAAAUGGUUCCACAACUGUACUGAGUUGUGAUAGGAACUUGGCUAGGUAGGUUACGACUCCCACACUCUAGUCCAAAUUAAGAAAUAAUUGGUUGAGGAAAAUUCCAAGGAGUGCAAAAGCUAAUUGCCUAAU
rnacentral:lncRNA from 1 species